CCUACGGGAGGCAGCAGUGAGGAAUAUUGGUCAAUGGCCGCAAGCCUGAACCAGCCAAGUCGCGUGAGGGAGGACGGUCCAAUGGGUUGUAGACCUCUUUUGCCGGGGGACAAAAGGCGCCACGCGUGCCGUUCCGAGAGUACCCGAAGAAAAAGCAUCGGCUAACUCCGUGCCAGCAGCCGCGGUAAUACGGAGGAUGCGAGCGUUAUCCGGAUUUAUUGGGUUUAAAGGGUGCGCAGGCGGAAGAUCAAGCCAGCGGUAAAAUUGAGGGGCUCAACCCCGUCGAGCCGUUGAAACUGGUUGCCUUGAGUGAGUGAGAAGUAUGCGGAAUGCGUGGUGUAGCGGUGAAAUGCAUAGAUAUCGCGCAGAACCCCGAUUGCGAAGGCAGCAUACCGGCGCUCAACUGACGCUCAGGCACGAAAGUGUGGGGAUCGAACAGGAUUAGAUACCCGUGUAGUC
rnacentral:rRNA from 1 species